rnacentral:rRNA from 1 species
UACAGAGGGGGCAAGCGUUGUUCGGAAUUACUGGGCGUAAAGGGCGCGUAGGCGGCCCGCUAAGUCGAACGUGAAAUCCCCGGGCUCAACCCGGGAACUGCGUCCGAUACUGGCAGGCUUGAAUCCGGGAGAGGGAUGCGGAAUUCCAGGUGUAGCGGUGAAAUGCGUAGAUAUCUGGAGGAACACCGGUGGCGAAGGCGGCAUCCUGGACCGGCAUUGACGCUGAGGCGCGAAAGCCAGGGGGGCAAACGGG